UUAACCGACUGAGCCACCCAGGUGCCCCGUUUUAAAAAAAAUUUUAACAUUUAUUUACAUUUGAAAGAGAGAGACAGAGACAGUACGCGAGCAGGGCAAGGGCAGAGAGAUGGAGACAAAAUCUGAAGCAGGCUCCAGGCUCUGAGCUGUCAGCACAGAGCCCGACGUGAGCCUUGAGCUCAUGAGCUGUGAAAUCAUGACCGGGGCCGAAGUCGGAUGCUCAAUCGACUGAGCCACCCAGGCGCCCUAUAAAAUUGGUACGAUAUUAUUGACCACAGACUUUAUUUUCAUUUCACCAAUUUUUCCACAUAUACUCUGUUUCUAUUCCAGGACCCAGUUUAGGACAUCAUCUUGCAUUUAGUGGCCCAGAAUUUUAAUUUUGAUUAUUUUUAGCUGCCUCAUCUAUGGGAUGGGAAGGUUAAUUUUUAUUUUUCUGAAGGAAGGCCUACAAAAAGCUGAAUAAUAUUUAUGUUUAAAGUAUGAUAGUAAUUUUAUAUUAAUGCCAAAAUUCAGUGAAAUUGUUAAGUAGUAGUUUGCUGCAAUCUAAUUCUUUUUUUUUCUAAUUCUCUUCAUUCUUCUGUUAAUGCUUGGUAAUUACUCCACUGUUGAAAGUAGCCCAGCAAUGUAAACAUUCCCCCCAAGUUCUUGUUGAGAGGUUAGUCCCUUGUUUAGAGGCCAGUGAAGGAAGGUGAGGACUUGCCCCUGAAGGUGCAUCCCUGGUUGAUGGUCAGUACAGCUUAGAGAAGAGAGUCGCCAGCCCCUUGCCAAAGCUGUUUGGUUUCUUUGGAUAAAGAAAUCCCAUAAAUGAAUACUUGAGCGUGCUUAUAAUAUUGCUGUUGCUUUCUGUUUUUAGAAGAAUAAAAAACAGCAUCCCUUAUUAACUGGCUUAAAUUGCAGCUACUGUCAACAUUCUCCCUUCUUUUAAAAGAAUAAUAGGUCAGUUAUAUUUCAGUUUAAAAAAGGUUAUUAGGAAAGUCAGUUCUGUCAAGCAGUCAUUACAGUUCAAUGCCUCUCCACAAACUGCGAGUUGGACUGGUUUUUUUAUGUUUGCACAUUUUGUAGGUGCC
rnacentral:lncRNA from 1 species